rnacentral:lncRNA from 1 species
UUUAUCUUUUCUAUAGAAAAUGUAAAAUAUUUCCAAUUAAGAUUUAUUUAUAAAAAUGACAUUGUAUUUAUCUUAUAUGUAUUAUAUUGUAUGUAUAUCAUGUAUAUGUUGUAAUUGUUGGAAAUAAAAAAAUCAAAAGUUAAAAAAAAAAAAAUUACAGUCAACAUCAUUUGGCAAGCUUUUUAAUAUGAAGGUACACCAUUGCGACCCUCAUAUAAGGAAUUGGAUGAAAUAUUUCUUACAAGUAUCAGCCUUGAAAUUGUAUGAGAAAUCUGGCAUCUCCCUCUUUACCAAUAUGUUCCCCCAGUAUUGAUGUUAACACACCUUACUGUACUCUUGCUUUCAUAGUGUACUCCAGAAUGACUAGGUUUUAAUGCUGAAAUCUUUUUCAAUAGAGAAUGUGGAAAAUAAUCAAAUUAUUUUGAGUCAAAUUACAGAAAAACAUAAGUCUGUGUGGGUUUUUUUUAAUAGGUAUUUGCAAAACUGGCAUAUUCUUAUAUGAAAAAAGAAAAUCUUUGAAUUUUUAUAUGCUCUGACUUUUUCAACUACGAAAAAUUUAAUGAAAUAAUUAGUAUGCAAACAUUAGGAAAAAUGAAUGAAAAACUAAGGUUGCAAAGGGGUUCAAAACAAGAAACACAACCCCUUCCCCUUUAACAACAUUUUCUGUAAUAGUUAACAACUCUUUUUAUAAUCAUUACAAUUUGGUGGCAGGUCUAGCAACUCCUUUUUAAAUUUUAUUUUCAAGAAGAAAAAAAACUCUUAAUACUAACUUGCUGUCAUAAAUUUUAAAUUACUUUUGUUAUAUAACAAAUACAGAUAUCUUUAUAAUAAAGUGGAUGGUACUCAAACUGUUGAUAUUUCAUUGUCAAUAUAAAAAAAAUCAUUGAUAUAAAAAUGGUAUAAACAGAUCUUUUUUCCUCUAUUCAAAAAUAGAAAAUAUCAUUUAGGCAAUAAACAAAUAAAAGUAUUUCCCUCUGUGUCAGUAGAAGUUUGUAAUAUCAAUAAAUAAUAUAUUGCACUAUUCUUAGUUUCUUUCCAGAUUCUUUAGUUUUCUGUCUAACAAGGUGAAUAUGUUAAUAUUUACUUUUUUAGUGGUUCCUUUAAAACUAAUUUCUCUCUGCUUAAUAUUCAUAAAUCACUCAAAAUCACUAGAAAUCACUGUGUUUCACUCAACACCACAGCUAGUGAUUUAUAACACAUGUGUAUUCAAAAUACUGUUAUCGUUUUUUUUAUUUUAGGACAAAAGUCCUACAAUACUGGACUUGAAAGGAAAAUUAAAAUUAUACCCUUUUUUUUUUUUAAUAUACAUGGAUUUGGACUCAAACAGGCAGUAUUUGU